GACGUAGGGUGCGAGCGUUGUCCGGAUUUAUUGGGCGUAAAGAGCUCGUAGGCGGCUUGUUACGUCGGCUGUGAAAACCCGCGGCUCAACCGCGGGCCUGCAGCCGAUACGGGCAGGCUAGAGUUCGGUAGGGGAGACUGGAAUUCCUGGUGUAGCGGUGAAAUGCGCAGAUAUCAGGAGGAACACCUAUGGCGAAGGCAGCACUCUGGUACGUGACUGACGCUGAGACGCGAAAGCGUGGGGAGCAAACAGG
rnacentral:rRNA from 1 species